rnacentral:rRNA from 1 species
UACAGAGACUGCAAGCGUUAUUCGGAUUCACUGGGCGUAAAGGGUGCGCAGGCGGUUUUACAAGCCAGAUGUGAAAUCCCCGGGCUUAACCUGGGAACUGCAUUUGGGACUGUAAGGCUAGAGUGUGUCAGAGGGAGGUGGAAUUCCACGUGUAGCAGUGAAAUGCGUAGAUAUGUGGAGGAACAUCGAUGGCGAAGGCAGCCUCCUGGGAUAACACUGACGCUCAUGCACGAAAGCGUGGGGAGCAAACAGG